UACGUAGGGGGCUAGCGUUGUCCGGAAUCAUUGGGCGUAAGGAGCGUGUAGGCGGCCCGGUAAGUCCGCUGUAAAAGUCAAAGGCUCAACCUUUGAAUGUCAGUGGAUACUGCCGGGCUAGAGUCCGGAAGAGGCGAGUGGAACUCCUGGUGUAGCGGUGAAUGCGCAGAUAUCAGGAAGAACACCAACGGCGAAGGCAGCUCGCUGGGACGGUACUGACGCUGAGACGCGAAAGCGUGGGGAGCGAACAGG
rnacentral:rRNA from 1 species